UACAGAGGUCUCAAGCGUUGUUCGGAUUCAUUGGGCGUAAAGGGUGCGUAGGCGGCGCGGUAAGUCGGGUGUGAAAUCUUGGAGCUUAACUCCGAAACUGCAUUCGAUACUGCCGUGCUUGAGGACUGGAGAGGAGACUGGAAUUUACGGUGUAGCGGUGAAAUGCGCAGAUAUCGGGAGGAACACCAGUAGCGAAGGCGGCACUCUGGGCCGGUACUGACGCUGAGGAGCGAAAGCGUGGGGAGCGAACAGG
rnacentral:rRNA from 1 species